AUCUGAAGGCAAACUUUUAUUUUCCACUCUAUUUCAAUAAUCACCAUGUUUCUAGAAUCUCUACCCUAUUUUGAUAAUCACUUUUUGUUUUUGUUGUUGUUCAAACCCCUUCUUAAUCCUCACCCGAAUUCCAGUCUAAACACGUUUUACUGCCUUGUAACCUCCUAAAAAUCUUUUAAAAAGUGACUCAUUUGGUUAAUGAGAACUAGACACUACAAAUUAAUUUUGUGCUGUAUAUCUGCUUCUACUUACAUGAGUAGAUGGAAACUCUUUGGGGAAAGGUCUUUGACAUUUUUCUUUAAACUAAUUAGAACACUACAUGCAUAAAUAGCUAACAGAGGAGAAAAAAAGCUAUGUCAGUCUUUAGCUGGUUCCUUUAAAAUUGUCCUAGAAUAUAAAAAUCAAUCUGCUACCUGAGAUUACAUGAGUAGAUCUAAAAUCUCACAGAAUGAGGAAGAUUAAAUAACCCCAAUUCUUAAACAGAAGCAGCAAUAUAGUUUUUAAAAUGAAAGAACUGAGGCUAAUUC
rnacentral:lncRNA from 1 species